rnacentral:tRNA from 1 species
UCCCUGGUGGUCUAGUGGUUAGGAUUUCAGCUCUUGCAUUGCUGUGGCCGGGGUUCGAUCCCCCGUUUGAGAA